rnacentral:rRNA from 1 species
CGAUUGAAUGUUUCGGUGAAGAUUCCGGACUGGAACGUGGGCGCUUCACGGCGCUUGGGGGAAAGGAAGUUAUCUAAACCUCAACAUUUAGAGGAAGGUGAAGUCGUAACAAGGUUUCCGUAGGUGAACCUGCGGAAGGAUCAUUA